CCUCCAGAAACUGCAGCUCUUAUGUGCAACUAUUGGUAAUCCUACCCAGGAGACCAAAUUUGGAGGGCCCUGUGGAAAAAGGGCGUAGCUUAAAUCUCCCAGCCCAGCUCCCCGGCCACAGGGCUGCAUUUCAGCUGAACCAUUGGUGCAGCAUGGUCACAAGUAGGGGCAAGGCUCCGCGGUCCCAGUGUGAGUGCUGAUCCAAAAGAUCCGGGGACGCCCUUUCCAGCAGUGCACCAACACUGUGGCUGGAUAGGGAAGCUAGAAAUCACUGGGGAGAGAAGGGGAGAGGAGGCGCUGUUAGCACAGCCGGGCUUAAAAAUGGGGAGGUGUGGGAGGCUGCUGCAAGCACCGCGGCCACCCGCCCUGUUACAGGGAAUGUUUCCAGCAGCUGCGCCGCAGGCGGCUGCCACUGCCUCCAAAAGCCGCAGCAGCAGCGAGGAGCUGCAGACGUGCAGAAGGGCUCACGCCAAGGCUGCGCAGUCACAGGGAAAUAGGGUGAAGAAAUUGUGUAAUGCCAGAAGAGCAGUGUGCCUGGAGCAAAGGUUUGGAAGGAUGAUGAGAAAAGUGAAUGGUCCAACCUCCUCAACAAACAUUCUCAAGGCAUUGCCACAUGAUCCGGAAAGUCCUCACUGUCCAGCGUCACUGAGAUGUAAGGUUUCUUCAACCCGUCACAUGGCCUAACGUUUUCCUGACGAAAUGACUAAAAGUUUGGACAACUUGUGACAGGAACCACAGACAUUACUUCUCACUGCUUCAUUUACUUCUCAAUUGCCACACAACGAGACUGAAAGCUGGAGACGUUUUCAAACUGCCUGGCAUGAUUGUUGCACUAUUUGUGUGAAUGCUGGCACCCUGGCCAUCCAGGUACACUGCGGCCAUCAAAAAUAAACUGACUGUGCUUCCAGCAACUUUGUAUAGAUUGGGAUAUUCCUGGAUGGAUGGAGUUCUUCCAGUCUUUUUUCACUGUGUUUGCUAGACCUCUUAUCUUUCUCCUUCCUCCCUUCUGGACUUUUUCCAGUUUGUUGGUGUUUUUGUGUCCAAAAUAGAGUAGCAGUCCCCAGGGUGGAACUAUUACCUCACUUGUCCUGAGGGCUAUUCUCUUGUUUAUAAGUCCAGCAUGUUGCAUGCCUUUUUCAUAGUGAUAUCAUAGCACAGACUGAUGUUCAGGGCAUGACCCUGAUCCUGCCUUGAAGAACUUGUA